UUCAAAAAUCACUAAAAAAUUCUUUGAAAAAUACCCUCCAAAACUCUCUCAAAUCUCAUUCCGAAUCCAUUCCAAAUCCAUAAAACUUCAUCCAUUUUUGAGAUUCUCGUGGAGGGGUAAAACUUUUCUGAGGUAAAGAAUAGUGAGUUGAGUUUUCGUUUGAGGGUUUACUUUUUAGUAAGAAUUUGUAUAACUUUUGCUUGUUUCUUCAACAACUAUCACUUUACUUUCUCAUAAAAUUGUUUGUAAUUUAUUUUUUUUUAUGUAAUGAUGCUCUAAAUUCAAGCAAGAUUUUGCUUUGUAUGCAAUGUAUUCAUUUUAGAGAAAUAAAGUUGAGAAUUUUUUAGUUUUUGAUAAUUCUUGAUUCUUUUUCAUAAUUUGGAUUGAGAUUGCUAGAAUUACUUUAAAUUCUAUACAAAUGAUGUUCAAUGGUAUAUUUUCUCUUUCGCCAAUUUUAUUUUUUGAACUCUAUUUGUCACGAAAUUCAAACCAUUCAAUAUGUUUUUUUUGUAAAUUUAAAGUAAAGAUAGUUGAAUGAUGAACUUUUUCUAGUACUAUUUUUCACUAGUACAAAACUGGGUUUACUCGACGUUUUUAUAAACUUAACGUAAAACUGUCAAAUAAUGUAAAAAAGUAAGUAAUAUAUACUUUUCAAUAUUUCAAUUAAAUUUGUUCCUCUUUUAAUUUUAUUUUCUCACAUUUUCCCUUUUCUCCCAAAUUUUUGUAAAAAAACCCUAACUUCCCCCCCCCCCCCUUCUCUUGACGAUCGAAGACUUCACGAUCAUCUCUUCCAUAUGAUCGCAAGCCAUUGCUCAAGACUUGUUGCGUUCGUCCGCCGCUCAAGCAAAGUUGGGUUUGUCCACCGCCGUUCAGAAGUUUAUCGCGCAUCGUAAGUUCGUCCGCCGCCGUUCACAGUUCGUCGCAAGCCACAAGUUCGCCACAAGCCACCGCCGCUGAAGCUUUGUUGCGUUCGUGCGCCGCUUUCCAGUGAAGUUGCAUUCGUCCGCCGCCUAAAAGGUUGUCAUUGUUUUUGGCGUCAGAAAUUCGGGGGAGAACCUAUGGAGUAAGACUGGUGCGAAAUACAUUGUAGAGUUCACCGGUGUUUUCACCGACAAAGACAAAGUUGCUGCUCAUUUGAAGAUCAUACUGCUGGAAAUGCUUCAUCAAAGAAAAGUGAUGGUCUAAUUAUUUGCUCAAAUAGUUUGAAGCGAUACUUAGGUGCGACUGUUGUAGAUUUUCUUAUUAUUGUGAUUCCCACUCUCUCGUUUUCCCGGUAACUAUCUUAAAAUGGGAGAUUAAAUCUAGUAUAAUAAGGAUAUGUUCGUAUGAGAGAUAUGUUUUAUUUCGCCUUUAUGUUUCCAGUCGUUAUCCUUUUCACUUUUACAAUGAAUUUCUCGUUUGGUUAUGAUUGAUGUCCCAUCUUGAUAAAUUUUAUUUAUUUUCGUUUGAGACUAACUUAAUUUGCUCAUUUGAUUGUCUGGACUAAUUAGCGGGUGGUUUCAUUAUUUUCAUUCUCAGUCAAAGAUUUGCCAAUCUUUAUUUCUAUUUGGAUUUCAAUCUCAUCUACCCUGAAUCUGGUAAUCUCCUAUGUAUUUCCUUUAAUUCCUUCCUUCUUGCCUUCGACUUACUUGCACUCCCCAAUUUUAUGCUUCGAGUGGCUUUCAUUGGGUUUUGAUUCUCGUUGCUUUUUUGUAGUUUGAGACUAGUGUUUAGAUUAUUUUUCCAUUUCCACCGAAUUAACAACUAUGCCCAUCUGUUUUUAACUUUUCUUUUGGCAGAUAUAAUUCCUUAUGUUGAAACUGGUAACUAUAUGGCGUACAAUAACGAAAAGGGUGGGGUUAUUGAGUGUUUAAGAUAGGAUGGUAUUGUUGAUCUUGAUUUCGAGUUUCUCUUGCUUCCGGAGUGGGUAUCUACAAAAUCUUUGUACUGUUGUAGGUGUUUGGUCUUUUAGAUGUGAAGCCUCAUGAAUUUGUGCAGUACGGAUUGGAUUGUGUUGCCUAGAAAUCUUAGCUGAUCACUGUGAUGUUUGUGCUAAACAUGCUCGUCAAAAGACAAGGAUUAUGAAAACUUGAACUGGUGGAGCUGGUUGCAGGAGGUGAUGGUACUGUUGGUUGGGCUAUGGGAAGUCUAGCAGAACUUUGCAAACAAUAUAGCAACCUUGUUCUUCCUCUUGGGAUUAUUCCUCUUUGUAGUGUUUGACAAUCUUUUGCUUUGCUAUUUCUUGGAAUAAAGAUUUCUCAAUAUUUUUUUUGUUAAACAAAUGAUGUGUGAAUGAAGCAAUUUCUUUUUUGCACA